CGACAGCGGCAGACGCUCUGCACGUGCAGGGUCUGCACGCGCGGACCAUGGGGGCUCUCGGCGAGCUGGUGACGGCCCUGCUGGAGGAAGACCUCAGCUCGGACUGGCUCGCGGAGAUGCUGCAUGUGCUGGAGUACUGGCUCACCUCGGCCAAGGAGUGGGAGCGGGAGAGGGCCCUGCAGGCCUGCGCCCA